UAAUACAGAGGUGUCAAGCGUUGCUCGGUAUCACUGGGCUUAAAGGGCGCGUAGGCUGUGCGGUACGGUUCGGGUGAAAUCCCUCGGCUCAACCGAGGAACUGCCCGGGCGACGGCCGCGCUGGACUGCAUCAGAGGAUGAUGGAACUCCCGGUGGAGCGGUGAAAUGCGUAGAUAUCGGGAGGAACGCCGGUGGCGAAAGCGAUCAUCUGGGGUGCUAGUGACGCUGAGGCGCGAAAGCCAGGGGAGCAAACGGG
rnacentral:rRNA from 1 species